rnacentral:rRNA from 1 species
GAUGAACGCUGGCGGCGUGCCUAAUACAUGCAAGUCGAGCGAACAGACGAGGAGCUUGCUCCUCUGACGUUAGCGGCGGACGGGUGAGUAACACGUGGAUAACCUACCUAUAAGACUGGGAUAACUUCGGUAAACCGGAGCUAAUACCGGAUAAUAUAUUGAACCGCAGGGUUCAAUAGUGAAAGACGGUUUUGCUGUCACUUAUAGAUGGAUCCGCGCCGCAUUAGCUAGUUGGUAAGGUAACGGCUUACCAAGGCAACGAUGCGUAGCCGACCUGAGAGGGUGAUCGGCCACACUGGAACUGAGACACGGUCCAGACUCCUACGGGAGGCAGCAGUAGGGAAUCUUCCGCAAUGGGCGAAAGCCUGACGGAGCAACGCCGCGUGAGUGAUGAAGGUCUUCGGAUCGUAAAACUCUGUUAUUAGGGAAGAACAAAUGUGUAAGUAACUAUGCACGUCUUGACGGUACCUAAUCAGAAAGCCACGGCUAACUACGUG